GAUGAACGCUGGCUACAGGCUUAGCACAUGCAAGUCGAGGGGAAACGACGGGGAAGCUUGCUUCCCCGGGCGUCGACCGGCGCACGGGUGAGUAACGCGUAUCCAACCUGCCUCUGACUGAGGGAUAACCCGUCGAAAGUCGGCCUAAUACCUCAUGGUAUCGUCUGCGGGCAUCCAACGACGAUUAAAGAUUUCAUCGGUCAGGGAUGGGGAUGCGUCUGAUUAGCUUGUUGGCGGGGUAACGGCCCACCCAGGCUACGAUCAGUAGGGGUUCUGAGGGGAAGGUCCCCCACAUUGGAACCGAGACACGGUCCAAACAGCUACGGGGGGGAGCAGUGCGGAAGAUUGGUCAAUGGGCGAGAGCCUGAACCGGCCAAGUAGCGUGCAGGAAGACGGCCCUAUGGGUUGUAAACUGCUUUUAUGCGGGGGUAAAGUGAGGGACAUGUCCCUCAUUGCAGGUACCGCAUGAAUAAGGACCGGCUAAUUCCGUG
rnacentral:rRNA from 1 species